rnacentral:rRNA from 1 species
GUUGGAAUUGCUAGUAAUCGUAGGUCAGCAUACUACGGUGAAUACGUUCCCGGGCCUUGUACACACCGCCCGUCAAACCAUGAGAGUUGGCAACACCCGAAGUCGGUAGUCUAACCGCAAGGAGGACGCCGCCGAAGGUGGGGUUGAUGAUUAGGGUUAAGUCGUAACAAGGUAAC